GGGUCAGUAGGUUGGUCGUGCCUCCGGUACGUACUGGUCUCACUGAUUCCUCCUUCCUGAAGAACCGUAAUGCCAUUAAUUUGGUGUUGCGGGGAAACAGGACUGUUACUUUGAAAAGAUUAGAGUGUUUAAAGCAAGCUAACGCUUGAAUACAUUAGCAUGGAAUAAUGAAAUAGGACGAUCGAUCCUAUUUUGUUGGUUUCUAGGAUUGACGUA
rnacentral:rRNA from 1 species